rnacentral:rRNA from 1 species
AUGGAUUGGCUCCUGACCACCGGCUUGUCGGCCACCGCCGGCGCGUGGGGCGCCCACGCAGGCCUCGGCGACGAAGUGGGCAGGCUGCGCUCCGUGCUGUCCCGCGUGCACGCGCUCGUCGAGCGAGCGGAGCAGUGGCGGUUCGCCAACCCCGGCGUUGCCGAUCUCCUCGCACGGCUCAGGGACGCCGCCUGCGACGCCGAGGACCUCGCGGACGAGCUCGCCACGGACGAGAAGCGGGCGAGCCAGAGCCUCUUCCCAUCCGUGCGCGGUUUCCUGCGCGGAUUGGUCACCGGCGCGGCGGAUAGAGCCAGAGCCGUCACAGUCCGUGCCCACGAUCCCGGCGGCGGCGGCGGCAGCGCGAAGCGACGGAAGAGCCGUGACGGCGUGGCCGUGUUGGCGAUCCUUGGCAUGGGCGGCGUGGGGAAGACCACUCUGGCGCAGGUUGUGUACAACGACCAGAGGGUGCAGGACCACUUCGACCUGCGGAUGUGGGUUUGCCUGCCGGAAUCGCCGGACGUGACACUGGUGACCAAGGUGAUCAUCGAGUCGGCAACCAAAGGCGCGGCGGCGCAAACCGGCCUUGCCAAUUUGGACUCACUUCAGGUGGUUCUCAGAGAUUUGGUCAGUUCCAAGAGGUUCCUUCUUGUCCUUGACAAUGCCUGGUGUGAGGACAGUGUGGAGUUUCAGACACUCGUGGCACCACUGAAGUUUGGGUAUCCUGGAAGUGCCAUCUUGGUGACCAGUCGCUCUUGCAAGGUUGCGGAUGCCACCGGAGCAGCGGAGCUGUUGUGUCUGAAUGGAUUGCCGGAGGAGGCUUACUGGGAGCUGUUCAAGCAGUAUGUAUUCGGCAAUGAGGACCCUGCCGGCCAUCCUGAAUUGGUGGCCAUUGGGAAGAAGAUUGCCCACAGGCUCAAGGGCUCCCCUCUUGCUGCCAAGACUGUCGGCGUGGCACUGAGCUCUGACAUGAGCACAAAGCAUUGGAGCAUAGUCAUGGCAAGUGGGUUGUGGGAGCUUGAUCAAGGUGCAGGAGGCAUUCUCCCGGCUCUCCGACUGAGUUACCAGUACCUCCCGGCACACCUCAAGCAAUGCUUCAUAUUCUGCGCGAUAUUUCCGAAGGGGUAUAUCUUCGGGAAGGACACUCUUAUUGACAUGUGGAUUGCAGAAGGCUUCAUCUCACCUCAAGGCGACUUUGGGAGCAUAUGCUUGAAAGAAUUGCUCAGCAGGUCCUUCUUUCAGCAACACAUGUUCAGUGACUCCUGUUAUGUCAUGCAUGACCUGAUGUCUGAUCUUGCACAGUCGCUCUCUAUAGAUGAAUGUUUUUGUCUGACUGAUGAAAGAUGCCUUCCGAAAAUCCCUUCAACCAUUCGCCAUCUGUCAGUGUGCACCAAACAUCUUGAACUGAGCAAGUUUCUUGAACUGGGUAGAUACACAAAGCUGCGGUCACUUUUGAUUCUCGGUAUGUCUGGGCAAGAUUUGAGUUGCUCACUUGACAUUUUGUUUGAUAAACUGAGUAAUAUCCGCGUGCUGGUGCUACGGGGGUGUGCGGUCAAAGAGCUCCCUAGGAAUAUUGGCAAUUUGAAACUUCUCCGGUAUAUCGAUAUCUCUUACACAAAGAUCCAAUGUUUGCCUGACUCCAUUUGCCAACUAAACAAUUUGCAAAUUCUGAAUGUACUGAACGUCCCUCUGAAGAACCAUCCCAAAGGUUUGACUAGAUUAGUCAAUCUGAGGAAAUGUUACGUGAAUGAACCGAUUACUUCGGUGAUGAGCAAUAUAAGCAAUUUGACAUCACUCGAGAACUCGUUGGUAUUUGAAAUUCCGAAAGGACAAGGGCACAGAAUCGCCGAACUGAAGGACAUGACACAGCUGACUGAAACUUUACAUGUUACGAAUCUUGAGAAUGUUGUGAAGGAUGAUGCUUUAAAAGCCAAGAUGAGCACAAAGGCGCACCUACAACGGUUGAUUCUGGAAUGGUCUUCAAGCAAAACUGGUAAUGCGGAAGUCAGCAAUGCCAAGUAUUCACAAGAAAGCAUUAUUGUUGAAUCAUUUGAGCCCCAUCCCAACCUUGAGAGUUUGAAAUUGAAGCACUACAGUGGCAUCCCAACACCAUCUUGGUUGCAGGCUGGAAAACUUUGCUGUUUGUGCGAGCUCAGUCUCUCCAACUGCCAUUUCCUAACUGAAGUCACCAGCCUCCCUUCUUCCCUCAGGAGGUUGCACAUCAUACGGUGCAGAAACCUCAGGAGUCUCGAUGAGUGUCUACAGGCACAGAGCUUGCAGGGAAUCACCGAAAUAACUGUUAUGAACUGCUCAAAACUAGCAUUGCUCCCUGUGGAAAGAUUUCGGGGCUUUGCUUCUCUUCGCGUAUUGGAAAUUCAAAAUUGUCCAGAGCUUCCACCCACAAGGAAACUGACCCUGCCGCCAUCAAUGGUGGAGUUGCUUAUGAGAUCAUGCGGCCAUGUCGAUGCAUCACUUCCAUCCUGCUUGCACAACCUGCCUUCACUUGUAAGCUUGAUUAUAUACAACUGUCCUAACUUACUAUCCCUUCCAGCAGAAAUAGUUUCGCAGCUGCGAUCACUCCGAGGGAUGUAUGUCGAUAACUGCAGCAGCCUGCGAUCCUUGGGUGGACUGCACCACCUUUCGUCACUCAUCAACCUGCAUAUUGUGAACUGCCCUAGGUUGACAGACCUUGAUCCCUUGAUGUUUCUGGACGUCGGCGAAGGCCAGGGUUACAGAAGCUGGAGUGCCUGA